CCGGUGCUUGCACUGGUCAAUCUAGUGGCAGAACGGGUGAGUAACACGUGGGUAACCUGCCCAUCAGAGGGGGAUAACAUUCGGAAACGGAUGCUAAAACCGCAUAGGUCUUCGAACCGCAUGGUUUGAAGAGGAAAAGAGGCGCAAGCUUCUGCUGAUGGAUGGACCCGCGGUGCAUUAGCUAGUUGGUGAGGUAACGGCUCACCAAGGCCGUGAUGCAUAGCCGACCUGAGAGGGUGAUCGGCCACAUUGGGACUGAGACACGGCCCAAACUCCUACGGGAGGCAGCAGUAGGGAAUCUUCCGCAAUGGACGCAAGUCUGACGGAGCAACGCCGCGUGAGUGAAGAAGGUUUUCGGAUCGUAAAACUCUGUUGUUAGAGAAGAACAAGUGCUAGAGUAACUGUUAGCGCCUUGACGGUAUCUAACCAGAAAGCCACGGCUAACUACGUGCCAGCAGCCGCGGUAAUACGUAGGUGGCAAGCGUUGUCCGGAUUUAUUGGGCGUAAAGCGAGCGCAGGCGGUUCCUUAAGUCUGAUGUGAAGCCCCCGGCUCAACCGGGGAGGGUCAUUGGAAACUGGGGGACUUGAGUGCAGAAGAGGAGAGUGGAAUUCCAUGUGUAGCGGUGAAAUGCGUAGAUAUAUGGAGGAACACCAGUGGCGAAGGCGACUCUCUGGUCUGUAACUGACGCUGAGGCUCGAAAGCGUGGGUAGCAAACAGGAUUAGAUACCCUGGUAGUCCACG
rnacentral:rRNA from 1 species